AGAGUAAAAUAGUACGUGAAAUUGUUGAAAGGGAAACGAUUGAAGUCAGUCGUACCGACGAGAAAUCAGCUCUUCGAGUGUGAACUUGUGGGAGGGCGUUGAGCCCCUUGCGGGCCUCGCCGUUUGCAAUGUUUGUGCUUUUCGGGUGUUCUUUUUCGUAUGGUAGGCCAACGUCAGUUUCGAGCACCAUAAAAUGAUCAGAGGAAUGUAGCUUCGAUCUCGUAUUGAAGUGUUAUAGCCUUUGGUAGAUGUGGUGAUCGAAACUGAGGAUUGCAACGAAUACCCUUUCGGGCUAUCCGUCUGACCUCUGAAGGUUGCCUAGGUGCCCGAAAGCUUGCUUACGGUUAUCUAAGGUAGCAGUCAAAAGGUUAGAACGUGAUUACAUUCGUUAAGGACGUUGGCGUAAUGGCUUUAAACGACC
rnacentral:rRNA from 1 species